UACGUAGGGUGCGAGCGUUGUCCGGAAUUAUUGGGCGUAAAGAGCUCGUAGGCGGUGUGUCACGUCGGCCGUGAAAACCUGCAGCUUAACUGUGGGCGUGCGGUCGAUACGGGCAUCGCUGGAGUUCGGCAGGGGAGACUGGAAUUCCUGGUGUAGCGGUGAAAUGCGCUGAUAUCAGGAGGAACACCGGUGGCGAAGGCGGGUCUCUGGGCCGAUACUGACGCUGAGGAGCGAAAGCGUGGGGAGCAAACAGG
rnacentral:rRNA from 1 species